UGCAGUCGAACGAUGAACCUCACUUGUGGGGGGAUUAGUGGCGAACGGGUGAGUAACACGUGAGUAACCUGCCCUUGACUCUGGGAUAAGCCUGGGAAACCGGGUCUAAUACUGGAUACGACCUUCUGGCGCAUGCCAUGUUGGUGGAAAGCUUUUGUGGUUUUGGAUGGACUCGCGGCCUAUCAGCUUGUUGGUGGGGUAAUGGCCUACCAAGGCGACGACGGGUAGCCGGCCUGAGAGGGUGACCGGCCACACUGGGACUGAGACACGGCCCAGACUCCUACGGGAGGCAGCAGUGGGGAAUAUUGCACAAUGGGCGCAAGCCUGAUGCAGCGACGCCGCGUGAGGGAUGAAGGCCUUCGGGUUGUAAACCUCUUUCAGUAGGGAAGAAGCUGGUCCUUCGGGGUUGGUGACGGUACCUGCAGAAGAAGCGCCGGCUAACUACGUGCCAGCAGCCGCGGUAAUACGUAGGGCGCAAGCGUUAUCCGGAAUUAUUGGGCGUAAAGAGCUCGUAGGCGGUUUGUCGCGUCUGCCGUGAAAGUCCGGGGCUUAACUCCGGAUCUGCGGUGGGUACGGGCAGACUAGAGUGCAGUAGGGGAGACUGGAAUUCCUGGUGUAGCGGUGAAAUGCGCAGAUAUCAGGAGGAACACCGAUGGCGAAGGCAGGUCUCUGGGCUGUAACUGACGCUGAGGAGCGAAAGCAUGGGGAGCGAACAGGAUUAGAUACCCUGGUAGUCCAUGCCGUAAACGUUGGGCACUAGGUGUGGGGGACA
rnacentral:rRNA from 1 species